rnacentral:rRNA from 1 species
UACGUAGGGUGCAAGCGUUGUCCGGAAUUAUUGGGCGUAAAGAGCUCGUAGGCGAUCUGUCGCGUCGGCUGUGAAAACCCGGAGCUCAACUCCGGGCCUGCAGUCGAUACGGGCAGACGUGGAGUUCGGCAGGGGAGACUGGAAUUCCUGGUGUUAGCGGUGAAAUGCGCAGAUAUCAGGAGGAACAGCCGAUGGCGAAGGCCGGGUCUCUGGGCCGAUACUGACGCUGAGGAGCGAAAGCGUGGGGAGCGAACAGG